AACCCGUGGUGAGGGCACAUUCUCAAUAGAUCCUUGUAUCUCUCCCAUGCAUCAUAGAGUGUUUCUAAAUCCAUCUACACAAAAGAAGAAUAAUCAUUCAUUAAU
rnacentral:snoRNA from 1 species